rnacentral:tRNA from 1 species
GCUUCUAUAGCACAAUGAUAGUGCAGCUCACUUGUAAUGAGCAGGUCGUAGGUUUGAGUCCUACUAGAAGCUCA